ACACUGCUUAAACUCCACCCCAGCUGCUGCUUUCAUCAUGCCCGACCCUGCCCAUUACACGGAUUUUUUUCCUUUCCCUUUUUAUUUCUGCCAUCCAACUUUUGCAAAUCACUCAAGGCAACCAAGGAAGACCAAGGGUUCCAUCUCUGCCAAAAAGGUGGGGGAUUUUGGUGUGUUUACUGCUUGCAUCGACACAAAGGAAAAUAACAGUCUCAGAUUGCAGUGCUACUAUCAAGACUGUUCACACCCUCCCUAUAAACCCUUCAGCUGUAAAUUCAAGACAUCGAAUGGAGGUAUACUAGCUACAAUGAAAAACGUGAUGUGCAAGAAUUACACUGUCCCAUUAACAGAACACAGUCCUGGCGAGUUGCAAGAGACUGGUAAUGUGACAAACUUCACAUGCACACUGACAAGAAACAAGAGGACUGAAACGAAGAACAUCACCAUAGACUACAAGACACAAAAAGAAAAACAACGAAUCCCAAAGUGCUGUGCUGCAAGCCCAACCUCCCUGUGGCCUGUGGUGCUCCUCACUCUGUGGAGAGUGGUUGACUCCUGAUGAAGGAAGCAUGAAGGACUGUCUCUGACCGCUUUGACUAACACAGAUGUAUCUGUUCCAUUUAGCCAUUUUAAAAUUUAAGAAACUUUCUAAAAUACAUUUCUAUGCAGGCUUCCAUUACUUGCUUGAUCCCCAAGUACAUGCAGUAAUGCAGUAUGUUAACAUAUAAACUGAAUUCCAACUAUGAUGUAUGAUAAUAUGAUAUAUUAAAGACUUAUGAAUUAGAAGUAUUAACUCA
ensembl:lncRNA